CCUACGGGAGGCAGCAGUGGGGAAUAUUGGACAAUGGGCGAAAGCCUGAUCCAGCCAUGCCGCGUGUGUGAAGAAGGCCUUCGGGUUGUAAAGCACUUUCAGUGGGGAAGAAAGCCUUGGGGCUAAUACCCUCGAGGAAGGACAUCACCCACAGAAGAAGCACCGGCUAACUCCGUGCCAGCAGCCGGCGGUAAUACGGAGGGUGCGAGCGUUAAUCGGAAUUACUGGGCGUAAAGCGCGCGUAGGCGGUCUGAUAAGCCGGUUGUGAAAGCCCCGGGCUCAACCUGGGAACGGCAUCCGGAACUGUCAGGCUAGAGUGCAGGAGAGGAAGGUAGAAUUCCCGGUGUAGCGGUGAAAUGCGUAGAGAUCGGGAGGAAUACCAGUGGCGAAGGCGGCCUUCUGGACUGACACUGACGCUGAGGUGCGAAAGCGUGGGUAGCAAACAGGAUUAGAUACCCCAGUAGUC
rnacentral:rRNA from 1 species